GGUUAAGCGACUAAGCGUACACGGUGGAUGCCCUGGCAGUCAGAGGCGAUGAAGGACGUGCUAAUCUGCGAUAAGCGUCGGUAAGGUGAUAUGAACCGUUAUAACCGGCGAUUUCCGAAUGGGGAAACCCAGUGUGAUUCGUCACACUAUCAUUAACUGAAUCCAUAGGUUAAUGAGGCGAACCGGGGGAACUGAAACAUCUAAGUACCCCGAGGAAAAGAAAUCAACCGAGAUUCCCCCAGUAGCGGCGAGCGAACGGGGAGCAGCCCAGAGCCUGAAUCAGUGUGUGUGUUAGUGGAAGCGUCUGGAAAGGCGUGCGAUACAGGGUGACAGCCCCGUACACAAAAAUGCACAUACUGUGAGCUCGAUGAGUAGGGCGGGACACGUGGUAU
rnacentral:rRNA from 1 species